AGUGAAACUGCUGGAUUGUAUGGUAAAUCCACUUUUAAUUUUAAAAGAAACUGCCAAAUUAUUUUCCAGAGUGGCUGUACUAUUUUACAUUCCACCAACAGU
rnacentral:pre_miRNA from 1 species